rnacentral:rRNA from 1 species
UACGUAGGGGGCUAGCGUUGUCCGGAAUCAUUGGGCGUAAAGCGCGCGUAGGCGGCCCGGUAAGUCCGCUGUAAAAGUCGGGGCUCAACCCUCGGAUGCCGGUGGAUACUGUCGGGCUAGAUGUCGGAAGAGGCGAGUGGAAUUCCUGGUGUAGCGGUGGAAUGCGCAGAUAUCAGGAGGAACACCAGUGCGGAAGGCAGCUCGCUGGGACGUACUGACGCUG